rnacentral:misc_RNA from 1 species
CCCCCUCUCCUUUCGUUUCCGUCGCCCUCACGUGGAUUACGCUUUCCCCCAGCGUACUCUCUCUCUCAUUGCGCGUCAUCCUUAUCGUCCGUUACCGUCUCUCCUUCACGAAGAAAUCGGCGUUGAUGCGGGGCACACCAGCUCGAAUUCGUAGCUGGUGUAGGCUGCGGUCCCCUCUGCAGCAGCCACGGUCAAUGAAACGACGCUGGGAGGGAAGUGGCAGGAGGGUGGAGGCAUCGCCAACUAUGGCAUCGUCCGGUCAAUGCACGAUCGCGGAUAACAGAGAAGCGAGGUGAAGCGGAGGGAAGCGGGGGGAGGCUUGAAAGGCGAGGAAGUGGAAAGGGCGAGUAGGAGCGGGGGCCUGCACAGCGAUCAAUGAUGGGAAGCCCAGCGCAAGAAACGUAGGGCAGUGACGCGCACGCACCCAGUGAGAGAAUGCUAAAAUAAACAUUUGUUUCCUUUCUUAUUUGGGUUUUUGCUUUGUGUGUGUUUGUGUGUCUGCGCCCGGAUCGCUUACUGUUCUCUUCCUCUCUCCCUUUGACUUGUCGAUUUCCCAUCCAACGCGCACACAUCCGGAUGUGACGCGAUUUACUUGCUGUACGUUUUCUUGUUCUCUUGGCUUGCGUAGCUCUUUUUGUUCACUCCCUUUUCGUUUUGGGUGUUUGCCUUGCGUGACACACGUUGCGCUGAGAAGUGUUGUGUGUGUGUGUGUGUGUGUGUGGCCGUUGCUUUUCGCGUAUUUCGGCUCUCCUCCUCUUUCUAUGUAAACAUGUUGUCGUCUUUGAAUCUCUGUGGUGGUUUGUUUGUUCUUUAAGCUUAGGAGCUGCGACGUCUGCGUGCGUGUGUUUGCGCUUUUAUUUCACGUGGGAUGCCGAGUAGGUCAGAUUCCGGCGGCGUACCUGAGGAAGUAGCGGGCACCGGUCUGCUGCGGUGGUUGUCGCUGCCUCGUUGUUUACUGCUUUUUUGUUGUUGUUCAGUCGUCGCGUUUGGUCUCAGUGCACGAGUUGCCUUUUUUUUCUAUGCUCUCAACUUGUACUUGGUGGACGCGGCACUUUGAAUGUUGUUGCACGCGAGGUUUUCUGGUCACUCGUCUGGCUUCUUUUCGUUUUGUUUUCUGAAUUCGUGUAUGUGUGCUUGAGCAACGGCUGUCGUUGGGUGACUGGAGAAGAGGGCAUGGCGCGGCAUUCGACACGCCUCACAGAUGAGCCAUCUGCUUACAUUUUCGUUUUUUUUUUCUUUUUGCGGUUGCAAACCGCUUUCAUCCUCCUCACAUGAUGCUCAUCACACGCGUAUGAGAAGGACGUCUCUGUGCGUGCGCGCAUACAUCUUCCUUCUCCCGCUUGGCACUUGCGGAACGCCUUUUCUAUUGCCUCUCUUUUUCAAGAAUCAUUGGCCAAUCCGCAGCGGCGCUCGUGUGCAUUCCGCCCCGCGCCGUUUUUUCUGUUCCCCCCUCCCCUUCCCGUUGCCGUUCAGUGAUCCCUGCACUGCUUUCCAUUUUUGAGAAUGGCCAGAACGUGUGAAAGUUUCUGUUUGUCCGCAUUUUUUUUGCGUUGUCCUUCCUUCGCUCGCUCACUGCCCCCGCCCUCUCCAAACUUCCAAAUCUCCGCCUUGCCCGUCUAUGCCACAGCUUCUCCGGCCUCCUGUUUGUUUCCACUGUAUUCUUAAUCGUGUGUGCAUCUCUCUCUUCGCGAUGUAGGGCACUCGCUUUUGUUUUUCUGCUUGGGUUUGUCUCAAACAGCGGAUGCACGCACAUGGGCACGCACACGCACACACACACAAACUCAGUCACGUGCAGGCCCACACUCACACUCGCUCGUCCGCACGCGUCAGGCGACCGAUAUCAGCUAUGAGCAGGGAGGACCGAAACUCAGGCAGUACUCAAGGGCCCGUAAUAAAGCACGAAAGAAAUCUAAUAAUCGCGAAUACCUUCAGCACAGCCAUAAAGAAUGUGCUGUCGGCACCACCCGAGUCAGAGAAGAGCAAGCAUGCACAGAGAGUGAGAAGCAAGAGGAGGUGGGCUCGCGGCGUCGGCGCAGGGGCUCUCACACUAAUUAGCCACCACCACCUCUCCAUCUCUCUCCAUCCGUGGCUUUACUGGGGUCUUUUCUCGUCUCCGCCACUUGAAGCUGUCUCAGCUAUCGCCCGCCCCACCCCUUGCUCCAGCGCAAGCUGUCAUCUGUGCUCACGUCCCUGCAUGCUGAGUAUGCACGAAGCGGGCAAUGAGGGAGUAUGUAUUCUUUUUUUUUGUGGCUGAGCUCUUUGUGUGACUGUCGAGCUGUCGUGACAGGUACCUUAGUCAUUUCUGCCGGGCACAACGCCUCAAGACCUACUUCGUCUCCGUUUCUGUGGCUCGCCCCUCUCUCUCUUCGCUCUUUUCUUUGUGUGUUGGGGGGAUCUACAUCCGGAAAUACCGUGUUAUCGUCUUCCCUCCCCGUGUCGCCUGUCCUUUCAUCUCUCUCCCUCGCUUACGCGUUCACUGUGUCACCCAUGCCUGCUGCCCUUCACCGUUUCGCGCAG